CAGUCAGAUGCUUACUUACAGGCCAUUCCCAACAACGCUGAGAAAAACAACAGGUGUAGACUAACAGUCAGAUUCUUACUUACAGGCCAUUCCCAACAACGCUGAGAAAAACAACAGGUGUAGACUAACAGUCAGAUGCUUACUUACAGGCCAUUCCCAACAACGCUGAGAAAAACAACAGGUGUAGACUAACAGUCAGAUUCUUACUUACAGGCCAUUCCCAACAACGCUGAGAAAAACAACAGGUGUAGACUAACAGUCAGAUGCUUACUUACAGGCCAUUCCCAACAACGCUGAGAAAAACAACAGGUGUAGACUAACAGUCAGAUUCUUACUUACAGGCCAUUCCCAACAACGCUGAGAAAAACAACAGGUGUAGACUAACAGUCAGAUGCUUACUUACAGGCCAUUCCCAACAACGCUGAGAAAAACAACAGGUGUAGACUAACAGUCAGAUUCUUACUUACAGGCCAUUCCCAACAACGCUGAGAAAAACAACAGGUGUAGACUAACAGUCAGAUUCUUACUUACAGGCCAUUCCCAACAACGCUGAGAAAAACAACAGGUGUAGACUAACAGUCAGAUGCUUACUUACAGGCCAUUCCCAACAACGCUGAGAAAAACAACAGGUGUAGACUAACAGUCAGAUUCUUACUUACAGGCCAUUCCCAACAACGCUGAGAAAAACAACAGGUGUAGACUAACAGUCAGAUGCUUA